CGAUCAGUAGUUGGUCUGAGAGGACGACCAGCCACACUGGGACUGAGACACGGCCCAGACUCCUACGGGAGGCAGCAGUGGGGAAUUUUGGACAAUGGGCGCAAGCCUGAUCCAGCAAUGCCGCGUGAGUGAAGAAGGCCUUCGGGUUGUAAAGCUCUUUCAGUUGAGAAGAAAAGAUUGUGACUAAUAAUUGCAAUUCAUGACGGUAUCAACAGAAGAAGCACCGGCUAACUACGUGCCAGCAGCCGCGGUAAUACGUAGGGUGCGAGCGUUAAUCGGAAUUACUGGGCGUAAAGGGUGCGCAGGCGGUUCUGUAAGUCAGAUGUGAAAUCCCCGGGCUUAACCUGGGAACUGCGUUUGAAACUACAGAGCUAGAGUGUGGCAGAGGGGGGUGGAAUUCCAUGUGUAGCAGUGAAAUGCGUAGAGAUAUGGAAGAACAUCGAUGGCGAAGGCAGCCCCCUGGGUCAACACUGACGCUCAUG
rnacentral:rRNA from 1 species